rnacentral:rRNA from 1 species
UGUCGAGUGGCGCACGGGUGAGUAAUGUAUAGGUAAUGUGCCCCUUAGUCUGGGAUAGCCAUUGGAAACGAUGAUUAAUACUAGAUACGCCUUCUGACUCUAAUGUCAGUUGGGAAAGUUUUUCGCUAAGGGAUCAGCCUAUAUUGUAUCAGCUUGUUGGUGAGGUAAGAGCUCACCAAGGCUAUGACACAUAUCUGAUUUGAGAGGAUGAUCAGACACACUGGUACUGAGACACGGACCAGACUCC